AUUGAACGCUGGCGGCAGGCCUAACACAUGCAAGUCGAGCGAGCGGCGGACGGGUGAGAAAUGUAUGGGGACUGCCCGAUAGGGGGGGAACACUACUGGAAACGGUAGCUAAUACCGCAUACUAUGAGAUAACCCAUAGGGUAUUAGCUAGUAGGUGAGGUAAUGGCUCACCUAGGAGACGAUCCCUAGCUGGUAUGAGAGGAUGAUCCGCCAAACGGGGACUGAGACACGGCCCAGACUCCUACGGAGGCAGCAGUGGGGAAUAUUGCACAAUGGUCGCAAGCCUGAUGCAGCCAUGCCGCGUGUAGGAAGAAGGCCCUAGGGUUGUAAAGUACUUUCAGUCGGGAGGCGUUACCGACAGAAGAAGCACCGGCUAACUCCGGGCCAGCAGCCGCGGUAAUUC
rnacentral:rRNA from 1 species